AGCCACAGCCAGACAAGCCUCUGCUGGGAUUUGGUGGCUGUCUUGGGUGGGGGAGUAACAAUGACUCCAAGCUCUGAGUGACCAUGAGAGGUGACCCUGAGAGAGAAGCAGCCUGGUGGGGAGGAAGACACAGGGGGCUUGCAGCCAGUGGGGAGAUAUUUCCAGAUCUUUCCAAGGAGGCUUUCUGGGGGCCCCAACCCUAGUCAGUGAUGCGGCUGCUGCAGGAGGCCUGGGCCUCCUGGUUCAUGUGAGGAACACCCAGUGGAGACUCACCAGUAGUCCAUGACCAGAGCACAGCUGUCCAGAUCAAUAAAGGUGAAGGCCUGGACACAUUUGUGGUCACUAAUAUCAAAGAAAUCUGGGGGAAAGACAGAAGGCCACAUGGAGCCCACAGCCAUGCCUGGGAGGUCUUCAGUCAUGAUCCAGCCUCACUUCCAGCCUCUGAUGAGCAACAGCCUCGCCGUCGUGCUGUCUCCCGCAUCUGAACAGCAGCCUCUCACUCUCCUCUGCCUCUACGUGGCCGGCCACCCCAGAGGGCUGUAGGUCACAAGAGGAGCACUGGCUGGACUGGGCUGGGGCCACAAAGGCCGGGGAUCACACUGAUGCCACUUCCACCCCUGCUUUUGGCCUUGUCUGAGUGCCUCCGAUCAGGUCUGCUCAGCCAAAGGCCUCAUUCAUCAUCCAUCCAUUCAAUAGUCUUCGAGCAUCCAGAAGGUACCAGGCACUGAGACACUGAGUUGAGCAGAACAGAUGCAGUCCCUGACCUCAUGGAGCUUCUAGUCUGGAAGAGGAGACGUGCUAAACAGAGAAGCACACUAAUACAUGUGUCACCUGGUCAAAGUGGCUUACUAACCAAGGAUUUGUUCUGCAAAGUUGCGAGGAAUGAAUGGAAUAACGAAAGUUAAAGCAUUGAGGGUGGUGCCCAGCACUCAGUAGGAGCUCAGCACUGGUGCCUCCUGCACUCGUGUAGCAUGUGCACAGAGAAUGUGAGCUGGCACUCCAGGCAGGGAAAGCCACGAGCAGAGCCAGGUCAGCAGAAAUGAGCUGCUGUGUCCUGGGGAAGAGGGAGGCCAGCCCACUCGGCUUAGAGUUGGAGAGGAACCUGAGAUGAGUUCCUAACUCCCACAGCUCCAGAGUCCUGCCCUAUGCGCUAGGGGCAGGAAUGCUGAUGUCAUGAAGCUUCCACUAAAAACCCCAGAGGACUGGGUUCUGAGAGCUUCCCUAUGGCUGAACACACGGAGGUUCCUGAAGCUUGUGCUCCCUCUCCCCAUACCUCGCCCUACACAUCUGUUCAUCUGUAUCCUUUGUAAUAUUCUUUACAAUAAACCAGUAAAUGUUUA